CAACAACAGAUAAAAACAUAAAGGAUAAAAUACAGAAGUCCUAAUUACUCACUUAGGUUUUCAAAGUACAACUUCUGUCCAGGGGGUCUCUGGCAAGGAAAGAUGGUGACUCACCCAAAAUUAGAUCUUGGCCCCAAGCAAGUACACAAACACCCUUCAGGAUCAUUAGAUAUAUAACCCUGUGGUUUAUCAAGUCUUGCCCAGGGGUGGAGUUAAGGCGUACCUACAGAAAUAAUAACUGACCACCUCCUUUGUUCCAGACCACUGUCAAUCCAAAUGGAAACAUUUGACUCUAUCUUCUUUUUUGUACCUGCCACAGAAAUAAUAAUUGCAUCUACAAAUUUGUUAUUUUCCCAUUCCAUAGACAUGUUGCACGUCCCACCCACGAUCCAAUAGGACGGACAUCACAAUUCCUUUCCCUAGGGUCAAGUUAGGCCACUCAUGUUUGGACUUGGUUAGAAGAUGGCGCUUGUCACAUUCCAAAUAUAACAAAAAUGAGGCUUAAUUAUUAUUCUGUGGGGG